GAGCAGGUGCGAAAGCAGGUCAUAGUGAUCCGGUGGUUCUGAAUGGAAGGGCCAUCGCUCAACGGAUAAAAGGUACUCCGGGGAUAACAGGCUGAUACCGCCCAAGAGUUCAUAUCGACGGCGGUGUUUGGCACCUCGAUGUCGGCUCAUCACAUCCUGGGGCUGAAGUAGGUCCCAAGGGUAUGGCUGUUCGCCAUUUAAAGUGGUACGCGAGCUGGGUUUAGAACGUCGUGAGACAGUUCGGUCCCUAUCUGCCGUGGGCGCUGGAGAACUGAGGGGGGCUGCUCCUAGUACGAGAGGACCGGAGUGGACGCAUCACUGGUGUUCGGGUUGUCAUGCCAAUGGCACUGCCCGGUAGCUAAAUGCGGAAGAGAUAAGUGCUGAAAGCAUCUAAGCACGAAACUUGCCCCGAGAUGA
rnacentral:rRNA from 1 species